rnacentral:rRNA from 1 species
UAAUACGGAGGGUGCGAGCGUUAAUCGGAAUUACUGGGCGUAAAGCGUGCGUAGGCGGUUAAUUAAGUCAGAUGUGAAAGCCCCGGGCUUAACCUGGGAACGGCAUUUGAUACUGGUUAACUAGAGUUUAAUAGAGGGGAGUGGAAUUUCAGGUGUAGCGGUGAAAUGCGUAGAUAUCUGAAGGAACACCAGUGGCGAAGGCGACUCCCUGGAUUAAAACUGACGCUGAGGUACGAAAGCGUGGGUAGCAAACAGG